rnacentral:rRNA from 1 species
AGCGAACGCUGGCGGCGUGCCUAACACAUGCAAGUCGAACGUGAAAAGGGAAACCUGAGUAAAGUGGCGUACGGGUGAGUAACGCGUAGGUAAUCUACCCCAGAAUCUGGAAUAACCCGCCGAAAGGCGGGCUAAUACUGGAUAGAGCGAGGGAACUCGUAAGAGAGUUUUUCGGGAAAGGGAGCCCGCAAGGGCCUUCGUUCUGGGAUGAGCCUGCGUCUCAUUAGCUAGUUGGUAAGGUAACGGCUUACCAAGGCGAUGAUGAGUAGCUGGUCUGAGAGGAUGAUCAGCCACACUGGAACUGAAACACGGUCCAGACUCCUACGGGAGGCAGCAGUGGGGAAUCUUGCGCAAUGGACGAAAGUCUGACGCAGCCACGCCGCGGGAGUGAAGAAGGCCUUCGGGUUGUAAAGCUCUGUCGGAUGGGACGAACAUCUUCAUAGUGAAUAGCUAUGAGGACUGACGGUACCAUCAAAGGAAGCACCGGCUAACUCCGUG